AGAGUUUGAUCAUGGCUCAGAACGUACGCUGGCGGCACGCCUAAUACAUGCAAGUCGAACGAAGUAGCAAUACUUAGUGGCAGACGGGUGAGUAACAUGUAGGUAUCUUCCCAUUGGUGAGGAAUAACACGAGGAAACUUGUGCUAAUACCUCAUAAGUCUUUACGGAGAAAGCUUUAUGCGCCGAUGGAUGAGCCUGCACUUGAUUAGUUUGUUGGUAGGGUAAUGGCCUACCAAGACAAUGAUCAAUAGCUGAUUUGAGAGGAUGAUCAGCCACAUUGGGACUGAGACACGGCCCAAACUCCUACGGGAGGCAGCAGUAGGGAAUCUUGCACAAUGGGGGAAACCCUGAUGCAGCGAUGCCGCGUGAGUGAAGAAGGCCUUUGGGUUGUAAAGCUCUUUCGUCGGGGAAGAAAAUGACUGUACCCGAAUAAGAAGGUCCGGCUAACUUCGUGCCAGCAGCCGCGGUAAUACGAAGGGACCUAGCGUAGUUCGGAAUUACUGGGCUUAAAGAGUUCGUAGGUGGUUAAAAAAGUUGGUGGUGAAAUCCCAGAGCUUAACUCUGGAACUGCCAUCAAAACUUUUUAGCUAGAGUAUGAUAGAGGAAAGCAGAAUUUCUAGUGUAGAGGUGAAAUUCGUAGAUAUUAGAAAGAAUACCAAUUGCGAAGGCAGCUUUCUGGAUCAUUACUGACACUGAGGAACGAAAGCAUGGGUAGCGAAGAGGAUUAGAUACCCUCGUAGUCCAUGCCGUAAACGAUGUGUGUUAGACGUUGGAAAUUUAUUUUCUGUGUCGCAGCGAAAGCAAUAAACACACCGCCUGGGGAGUACGACCGCAAGGUUAAAACUCAAAUGAAUUGACGGGGACCCGCACAAGUAGUGGAGCAUGUGGUUUAAUUCGAAGAUACGCGCAGAACCUUACCAACACUUGACAUGUUCGUCGCGACUUUAAGAGAUUAAAGUUUUCGGUUCGGCCGGACGAAACACAGGUGCUGCAUGGCUGUCGUCAGCUCGUGUCGUGAGAUGUUGGGUUAAGUCCCGCAACGAGCGCAACCCUCACUUUUAGUUGCCAUCAUUUAGUUGGGCACUCUGAAAGAACUGCCAGUGAUAAGCUGGAGGAAGGUGGGGAUGACGUCAAGUCCUCAUGGCCCUUACGUGUUGGGCUACACACGUGCUACAAUGGCAUUUACAAUAGGAAGCAAGACGGCGACGUUAAGCAAAUCCUAAAAAAAUGCCUCAGUUCGGAUUGUACUCUGCAACUCGAGUACAUGAAGCUGGAAUUACUAGUAAUCGCGGAUCAGCGCGCCGCGGUGAAUACGUUCCCGGGUCUUGUACACACCGCCCGUCACACCAUGGGAGUUGGUUCUACCUUAAGGCAAAGUUUAAUACCUUUGACCACGGUAUAGUCAGCGACUGGGGUGAAGUCAUAACAAGGUAACCGUA
rnacentral:rRNA from 1 species